UACUACGAGCACCAGCUUGAAACCCAAGGGACUUGGCGGUGCUUAAGACCCACCUAGAGGAGCCUGUUCUAGAACCGAUGACCCCCGUUAAACCUCACCCUCUCUUGCUCGUCCCGUCUAUAUACCGCCGUCGUCAGCUUACCCUGUGAAGGCCCGAUAGUAAGCAGAAUUAGCCCCUCCUCCAAACGUCAGGUCGAGGUGUAGCACAUGAGGGGGGAAGAAAUGGGCUACAUUCCCUGCCCCAGGGAAUACGGACAAUUUACUGAAAUGUUCAUUAGAAGGAGGAUUUAGCAGUAAGCGGGAAAUAGAGUGUCCCACUGAAACCGGCCCUGAAGCGCGCACA
rnacentral:rRNA from 1 species